GGGGAUUUAGCUCAGUGGUAGAGCGCUUGCCUAGCAAGCACAAGGCCCUGGGUUCAAUCCCCAGCUCCG
rfam:Rattus norvegicus chromosome 1, whole genome shotgun sequence.